AACGAACGCUGGCGGCAUGCCUAACACAUGCAAGUCGAACGAGACCUUCGGGUCUAGUGGCGCACGGGUGCGUACCGCGUGGGAACCUGCCCUUAGGUUCGGAAUAACUCCCCGAAAGGGGUGCUAAUACCGGAUAAUGUCUUCGGACCAAAGAUUUAUCGCUUGUGGAUGGGCCCGCGUUGGAUUCGCUGGUUGGUGGGGUAAAAGCCUACCAAGGCUUUGAUGGGUAGCUGGUCUGAGAGGAUGAUCGGCGGCACUGGGACUGAGAUACGGCCCAGACUGCUACGGGAGGCAGCAGUGGGGAAUAUGGCACAAUGGGCGGAAGCCUGAUGCAGCAACGCCGCGUGCGGGAUGACGGCCUUCGGGUUGUAAAACGCUUUCGCCUGUGACGAAGCGUGAGUGACGGUAAUGGGUAAAGAAGCACCGGCUAACUACGUG
rnacentral:rRNA from 1 species